GUAACAAAGGAGUUUUAAUUUGCCCGUUAGACAAAAAAGUUUCAAAACCUGAUAAAACAUUUCCUGAUAAAGCUUUCGAAAGAGCUGUUCAGCAUUUACAAGUAAAAUGUAAAAACUUCAUGAAAAACUGUCGCUGGACCGGAGACCUAAGAUUAAUUGAUAACCAUUUAGAAAAUUGCAAGUACCAAGAAGUUAGUUGUCCAAAUGAACUGUGUACUGCUUCAGUUUUGCGUAAAGAACUAAUGGAACAUAUGGAAACUGAUUGCAUUUUUCGUUUGGCUAACUGUCAGUAUUGCUAUCUAGAGAUACUUUACUUAGAAA
rnacentral:lncRNA from 1 species